rnacentral:rRNA from 1 species
CCCGUUCGGGGUGCGGUGGUCGCGGAGUWCYGGAACCAUUGGUACGGSUCCNCGGCCAGCCGCCUCCCGACGGGCGCACUUUCCCCGGCGAGAGCGCCACGACCGGUUGCCUGGCCGCCCCAAUCCCGCGAGAAAGGUGACCAGCCCUCGGGCAGGUGUUAUAGUCUCGSGUGGCGUUGGUCGGCCGGACGACCGAGGCACACCGCCGCUCCCGCCCUCGGGCUCGGUUCGCCGGCCCGCGACGUCGGUUCGACUGGGGUGGACUGCACGCAGUGCUCCCCGACCGCCGGCGGCGUGGGACCGGUCCAGACCGAGCAGGAGCCUAGGGUUGGUGGGGUUCCGGUCGGCCCUCCACCCGACCCUUCUUGAAACACGGACCAAGGAGUCUAACAUGCGCGGGAGUCAGKGGGUCYUGAGAAACCCAAGGGCGCAAUGAAAGUGAAGGSCCAGGCUUGUGGUCCGAGGUGGGAUCCCGGGCUCCGGCCCGGGCGCACCACCGGCCCGUCUCGUCCGCAUCGUCGGUGAGGCGGAGCAAGAGCGUACACGUUGGGACCCGAAAGAUGGUGAACUAUGCUUGAGUAGGAUGAAGCCAGAGGAAACUCUGGUGGAAGUCCGUAGCGAUUCUGACGUGCAAAUCGAUCGUCAAACUUGGGUAUAGGGGCGAAAGACUAAUCGAACC